CUCUAACCUCAUUGAUCCGGGCUUGAGGAUGAUGUUACAAGCCGCACACACGUCCGGCCUCUAGGAGUCAUCCACACGAGCCCACGAAUCUCGAUCAGAAGUCCUGCUUCAGGAAAUCAGCACAGUAUGCUAGUACUGCGCUGAUCCUUCUUUGAUGGUUGAUCAGGUGCCUCCUUCUUCUUGAUUUGGACUCUUCUAAAGAUGGAAAGUAGAAAGAGGAGUUUCAGAUCUGAGACGCUCU
rnacentral:lncRNA from 1 species